rnacentral:rRNA from 1 species
AGGGUUUGAUUCUGGCUCAGGACGAACGCUGGCGGCGCGCCUAACACAUGCAAGUCGAACGAGCAAAGAGGAGCUUGCUUCUCUGAGCGAGUGGCGAACGGGUGAGUAACGCGUGAGGAACCUGCCUCAAAGAGGGGGACAACAGUUGGAAACGACUGCUAAUACCGCAUAAGCCCACGGGUCGGCAUCGACCAGAGGGAAAAGGAGCAAUCCGCUUUGAGAUGGCCUCGCGUCCGAUUAGCUAGUUGGUGAGGUAACGGCCCACCAAGGCGACGAUCGGUAGCCGGACUGAGAGGUUGAACGGCCACAUUGGGACUGAGACACGGCCCAG